UAAAAUCACUGAUAUUUAAAACAUUUCUGAAAGUAUACAUGUGAAAAUGUGUUACUACUGAGGACUUGGAGCUUAAAGUUGAUAGGUACUAAGCACAAAACCAUGUUAGAAGCCCGGAAUGGAAGUGGCACUAUCAAAGCCUUUCCUAGGGCAGGAGUGAAAGGCAAAGGACCUGUUAAUAAAGGAAACACAGGCCUCCAAAAUAAAACAUUUCACUGUGAAAUCUGUGAUGUGCACGUCAACUCGGAAACGCAACUUAAACAGCACAUUAGCAGUAGAAGGCACAAAGACAGAGCUGCUGGGAAGCCCCCGAAACCUAAAUACAGUCCUUACAACAAACUACAGAAGACAGCACAUCCACUGGGGGUAAAAUUAGUAUUUUCAAAAGAACCUUCAAAGCCAUUGGCUCCACGAAUUCUACCAAAUCCUCUAGCA
rnacentral:sRNA from 1 species